GACGGAGGAUGCAAGUGUUAUCCGGAAUCACUGGGCGUAAAGCGUCUGUAGGUGGUUUGAUAAGUCAACUGUUAAAUCUUGAAGCUCAACUUCAAAAUCGCAGUCGAAACUAUCAGACUAGAGUAUAGUAGGGGUAAAGGGAAUUUCCAGUGGAGCGGUGAAAUGCGUAGAUAUUGGAAAGAACACCGAUGGCGAAGGCACUUUACUGGGCUAUUACUAACACUCAGAGACGAAAGCUAGGGAAGCAAAUGGG
rnacentral:rRNA from 1 species